rnacentral:lncRNA from 1 species
UGAAUUUUGAAUUUUAAUUUUUAAAAUUUUAUUUUUAAAUUUUGAAUUUUGAAUUUUGAAUUUUAAAUUUUAAAAUUUUAGAAAUUUAAUUGUUAUAAAUACUAUGGAAUUAUAUUAUCUGUAUCAAAACAGCUUAAAAAUGAAGCUGUGGAAUUUUUUUGUAGUUACAGAAUUCCGUAUUUUAUUUAGACCAAAACCGAAUAAAAAUUCUAUGGAGUUUUUUAACUAUGCAUCCAAACAGAGCCUUAGUCUCAAAGUUGCCGACAAAUAUUUUUAAUCAAAUUAUU